rnacentral:lncRNA from 1 species
ACUACACUGGAGCUCUUGCUGACCAGACAACAGCAGACAUACAUGGAGGUUUUCCCCCUGCAUCAACUCGUGAUGAUGAAGGCUGCCCCAGUCCUAUGAAAGAGGAUUUGACUUCCGCAGGUACCUUGCGACUUGAAACAUCAGCCCAAACUGAUGACCAGCAGAUGAUUACACGCGCGGUUGGACCGCACACAAGGGCUUGCUACUUUGCUGGAUAUGAAAGUAUUACCUUCAUGCUGCUCACCACAUACCUGCAAGACAGGCCCUCCUAUUUUCUGCUCAAACUGUUCCCUGGCUACAGCUUCCGUCUUUCGCCCUAAGGAAAUGAAGGAAUUAACAAU